GGGUUGUGAGGUUAAGCGACUAAGCGUACACGGUGGAUGCCCUGGCAGUCAGAGGCGAUGAAGGGCGUGCUAAUCUGCGAUAAGCGCCGGUAAGGUGAUAUGAACCGUUAUAACCGGCGAUACCCGAAUGGGGAAACCCAGUGUGACUCGUCACACUAUCAUUAACUGAAUCCAUAGGUUAAUGAGGCGAACCGGGGGAACUGAAACAUCUAAGUACCCCGAGGAAAAGAAAUCAACCGAGAUUCCCCCAGUAGCGGCGAGCGAACGGGGAGGAGCCCAGAGCCUGAAUCAGCAUGUGUGUUAGUGGAAGCGUCUGGAAAGGCGCGCGAUACAGGGUGACAGCCCCGUACACAAAAGCGCAUGUGCUGUGAGCUCGAUGAGUAGGGCGGGACACGUGGUAUCCUGUCUGAAUAUGGGGGGACCAUCCUCCAAGGCUAAAUACUCCUGACUGACCGAUAGUGAACCAGUACCGUGAGGGAAAGGCGAAAAGAACCCCGGCGAGGGGAGUGAAAAAGAACCUGAAACCGUGUACGUACAAGCAGUGGGAGCACCCUUUUGGGUGUGACUGCGUACCUUUUGUAUAAUGGGUCAGCGACUUAUAUUCUGUAGCAAGGUUAACCGAAUAGGGGAGCCGGAGGGAAACCGAGUCUUAAUUGGGCGUUAAGUUGCAGGGUAUAGACCCGAAACCCGGUGAUCUAGCCAUGG
rnacentral:rRNA from 1 species